UACGGAGGGUGCAAGCGUUAUCCGGAUUCACUGGGUUUAAAGGGUGCGUAGGUGGGUCUGUAAGUCAGUGGUGAAAUCUCCAAGCUUAACUUGGAACUGCCGUUGAUACUAUAGACCUUGAAUGCUGUGGAGGUGAGCGGAAUGUGUCAUGUAGCGGUGAAAUGCCUAGAUAUGACAUAGAACACCAAUUGCGAAGGCAGCUCACUACCCAGAUAUUGACACUGAGGCACGAAAGCGUGGGGAUCAAACAGG
rnacentral:rRNA from 1 species